rnacentral:rRNA from 1 species
AUUGAACGCUGGCGGCAGGCCUAACACAUGCAAGUCGAGCGGAUGACGGGAGCUUGCUCCUUGAUUCAGCGGCGGACGUGUGAGUAAUGCCUAGGAAUCUGCCUGGUAGUGGGGGACAACGUUUCGAAAGGAACGCUAAUACCGCAUACGUCCUACGGGAGAAAGCAGGGGACCUUCGGGCCUUGCGCUAUCAGAUGAGCCUAGGUCGGAUUAGCUAGUAGGUGAGGUGAUGGCUCACCUAGGCGACGAUCCGUAACUGGUCUGAGAGGAUGAUCAGUCACACUGGAACUGAGACACGGUCCAGACUCCUACGGGAGGCAGCAGUGGGGAAUAUUGGACAAUGGGCGAAAGCCUGAUCCAGCCAUGCCGCGUGUGUGAAGAAGGUCUUCGGAUUGUAAAGCACUUUAAGUUGGGAGGAAGGGCAGUAAGCUAAUACCUUGCUGUUUUGACGUUACCGACAGAAUAAGCACCGGCUAACUCUGUGCCAGCCGCCGCAGUAAAAC